rnacentral:rRNA from 1 species
AUUGAACGCUGGCGGCAGGCCUAACACAUGCAAGUCGAGCGGAUGAGAGGAGCUUGCUCUUUGAUUCAGCGGCGGACGGGUGAGUAAUGCCUAGGAAUCUGCCUGGUAGUGGGGGACAACGUUUCGAAAGGAACGCUAAUACCGCAUACGUCCUACGGGAGAAAGUGGGGGAUCUUCGGACCUCACGUUAUCAGAUGAGCCUAGGUCGGAUUAGCUAGUUGGUGAGGUAAUGGCUCACCAAGGCGACGAUCCGUAACUGGUCUAAGAGGAUGAUCAGUCACACUGGAACUGAGACACGGUCCAGACUCCUACGGGAGGCAGCAGUGGGGAAUAUUGGACAAUGGGCGCAAGCCUGAUCCAGCCAUGCCGCGUGUGUGAAGAAGGUCUUCGGAUUGUAAAGCACUUUAAGUUGGGAGGAAGGGCAGUAACUUAAUACGUUGCUGUUUUGACGUUACCGACAGAAUAAGCACCGGCUAACUCUGUGCCAGCCGCCGCCGUAACAC